AGGCUCACGCUUGAAUACAUUAGCAUGGAAUAAUGAAAUAGGACGUUUGAUUCUAUUUUGUUGGUUUCUAGGAUUGACGUAAUGAUUAAUAGGGAUAGUCGGGGGCAUCAGUAUUCAAUCGUCAGAGGUGAAAUUCUUGGAUUGAUUGAAGACUAACUACUGCGAAAGCAUUUGCCAAGGAUGUUUUCAUUAAUCAGUGAACGAAAGUUAGGGGAUCGAAGACGAUCAGAUACCGUCGUAGUCUUAACCAUAAACCAUGCCGACUAGGGAUCGGACGGUGUUAGUAUUUUGACUCGUUCGGCGCCUUACGGGAAAC
rnacentral:rRNA from 2 species